UAGGGAAUCUUCGGCAAUGGACGAAAGUCUGACCGAGCAACGCCGCGUGAGUGAAGAAGGUUUUCGGAUCGUAAAACUCUGUUGUUAGAGAAGAACAAGGAUGAGAAGAGAAUGUUCAUCCCUUGACGGUAUCUAACCAGAAAGCCACGGCUAACUACGUGCCAGCAGCCGCGGUAAUACGUAGGUGGCAAGCGUUGUCCGGAUUUAUUGGGCGUAAAGCGAGCGCAGGCGGUUCUUUAAGUCUGAUGUGAAAGCCCCCGGCUCAACCGGGGAGGGUCAUUGGAAACUGGGGAACUUGAGUGCAGAAGAGGAGAGUGGAAUUCCAUGUGUAGCGGUGAAAUGCGUAGAUAUAUGGAGGAACACCAGUGGCGAAGGCGGCUCUCUGGUCUGUAACUGACGCUGAGGCUCGAAAGCGUGGGGAGCAAACAGGAUUAGAUACCCUGGUAGUCCACGCCGUAAACGAUGAGUGCUAAGUGUUGGAGGGUUUUCCGCCCUUCAGUGCUGCAGCUAACGCAUUAAGCACUCCGCCUGGGGGAGUACGACCGCAAGGUUGAAACUCUAAAG
rnacentral:rRNA from 1 species